rnacentral:sRNA from 1 species
UUUCCAUUGUCGCCCUGUGAAUAAGGCUCCUAGACCCGUUACGCUAUUAGCCAACAUUAUCCUCAGUCUCCCUUACCUACCUAUAUGAAGACCUCGGUUCCUCUCUUCAUUAUUCUACCCCCGAGAUGGUCUUCCCCCAGCACUACCACUUCUUUUGGCAGCCACAUUCUGAUCGGUCCUGUCCGCUGAUUAUCCCCAUCCAUACCAUUCUUCUCCGAAGGCUCUGGCAUUGAUAUAUGCACUCAGGAUCCAAAUAUACGCAACACAGUACUCAAUAGCCCAUUGUGUUUUCUCCAACUCCUUAUUUCUUCCAACGAUGGCUCAUCUUCUAUGGGUAAAGGUGGAUCUGUUGAAGCGGUGCGAGUGACACUGAGAAGAGAUGAGUGAGUUGGCGUUAUUGAUGGGUUCGUCAGAGAACAUCAUCUUUCCCUUGCCAAUCAUGGAGAUUUUCAACACAUCCGUCACCUGGCUGGCAUAGCCUCCUAGGCCAUCACGCAAAGGUGCUCCAAAGCUUACUAGAGUACAGGAGAACAGCAUGAGAAACCAUCGAUAUUUGUGAGUCAUAUUCGGCGCAUGCAACAAACGCCCGUCUUAAGUAUCCUAUUCGAUUAUUCUUAUUUUUUGAAUGGCAUUCAGUUGUUAGCGUCGAUGGUGCGGGAAGAUCAGACAGCCUUUAUAUUAGCGAAAAGAAGGCAUAAGGGAUG